CUGUGGGUUGAAACAGUCAAGAGGCUACCCAGACUUAAGGGGAAGGCAUUUUAGAUACAACUCAUUCCAGUUGGGCUUUGAUCAAGCCAUCAAGGGUCUAUUAAUACAAUUCUCAGAGACUGCAAGUACAGCUUGGGCAUUGCAACCAAAAAGAAACCACUGAGGAUGCCCUCAUAAUGGCUUAACAGUUUAGUUGAUGUCACUUUGGAAAAUUUAAAGGACACGGGGAAAAG